AGUAAGGUCAAUAAUUAGAUUACUGCUGUCCAUGUAAACGUAGUCAGUGUUUAGUAGUAGCAAAAUUUUGGAUUAUUUAGUCCUAAAUGCUUUCUGUACAUGUAAUCAGUCCCAACAGUGUUUUCCUGAUGGCAGCUUCAGUGACACGAUCCUGCUGGUGGACCUCAGAGCGUCUAACACUGUUAAUAGCUCCAACUGUUCCCCACUCACCUAUCUGGCGUGCGAGGUUGGAGAUCUGUCCAGCAAACUCGGCUCCGUCAGUUUAACACAAAGGCAGCUCUUUACAGAUGCGCAUCUUCAGCUGGCUGGAGACUACACAGUCGUUUACAGAAUGCUAGUUCUGAGGGCAGGAGACGAGACCAUCGAUUGUGCGGACAUCGUCCCUGUGUCACCGUCAGCACAGCAAAUCUUCCCGAGCAUAAAAUCCUUCAGCAGUUAUGAUUUCCGUAAAAGGGUGGCAGACGUUCUGGAGGUCCAAGUGUCCCGGGUGUCCAUCUUACCCGGUGCCCUCUCACCCAUUGCAGGAGGGAAGUGCCAGCAAGUCACCUUUCUUGUGUCAGGUGACAUGAGUUUGAAGAAGCUAUCUGCUGUGAAGGACAGCAGGAUGAUGGGCAUGUACAGGCAGACUGAAUGGUGUACGAAAAGUGGCGUACCUGGUCUUGGGUCUUCACAUACCGGAACCAUCCACGUCUUCUCCCUGGCCGCCGUUUACCUUCUCCACUCUCUCAUUCUGCACUGGAUGUCAGAGUGAGAUCAGCUGUGCUGAAUUUAUCCCCAGAGCUGCACGGAGGCUGCUUAACUCCAUAAGACUUGGUGUGAAUGAACUGUCUCGAUGGUCAACGUGCUCAAACCACUUUGAAUCAACUGCUGUAAAAUGAUACUAGAUAAAAAUGUUGUUUUACGAACCUUUGUUUUACUAUUACUGUCUGAACAGUACUUAGAACUUGACGGCAAUUCAUUUUCUAUUUACGUUAUAUUGUUCGCUGAUUUGAUACUGCCAAGUGAUUUAUGCCCAUGUGUUCACUGUAUAUCUGGUGAAAAUGACUUACUGUGUAUUUGUAUUUUUAAUGCUCGCAUGAUUGUAGAUAUCGCAUCCACCAGAUCCUAAAUGUCCUAGUAUAUGCUUUGUCGCCCUCAUUUGCGGUUCGAAUGAAUUGAUCGCGUAUUCAAUGAAGUAGAGUCGGAUUGAGCUUGCUCUGUACGUCCUCGGACAUGUUGCGCAGUUUCCAUUUAAGUUCCAUGUUGGUGAGAGCAAUUAAAUCGCUACUAGGAUGGUCUUGAAAUUUGUGAAAUUUAGCAUUUUUUUUUGGCAUGUAUAUAGUACAUAUUGGUGCUUAUCAAUAAUUCGAAAUAAAUAAAUAAACAGCCAGAUAGAUAGAUAGAUAUAUAGGUGGGUGGGGCUAAUUGUGAAUAAACCUUGCGUACGUCUGAUACCUAUAUUACACAUGCUUCACACAUAUAUAAGAUCCACUAUCCCCAUUUUCAUUGUUGACCUGAAAAAUCUUACAAAUUCCUGCCCUCUACUGCCCCCUAGUGCACAGGUUCCCAACCCUGGUCCAGGAACACAGGACAGGACAAGUGGUCCUACACAUUUUAGUGUUUUCCCUUCUUCCUACACAUUUGAUUCAACUAAUCAACUAAUUAAGAGCCCUUCCUGAGUUGAAGUGGCUGUGUUAGAGCAUUGAAAACACUAAAAUACACAGAACAUGGUGGUCUCCAGGACCAGGGUUGGAAACUUGAGCCACUUGCACAGUGGCAUGUCUGUUCAGGUGGUUCGGCUCGGAGUCUCAGACAGAGUGAUGUCAGUUAAGUGUGCUGUCAGUUAAGUGUGCUCGUUAGAAUAUUAGGCCACGCCCAUUCCAACCCUUCCCAGAUCAAUUCCUAAACGUCACUUUAGAGUUGCUUAGGAUUUGCGUAAAUGUCCGUUAUCUUUGGCUUCUUCCCAUUCAUG
ensembl:lncRNA